rnacentral:lncRNA from 1 species
UUUUUUUAAUUAAAAAAUAUAGGGACCGUUCGAUUAUUUGUGAAUUUAGGUUUGGUUUCAGAUUAAUUAGUUUAGCUCUCAGUUUGAUUGGGAUAAAAAUAUUAAAAAUUCGAUAAAGUUUUGAGUUUAAUUUGAUGUUGGUUCGGUACCUAUUUUUUGGAUAAUACGGUUAAAAAUCACAUUUUUGUAUUUUUAGAACAAAAUCGACUAAAUUCAAAUAUUUAACAUAUAAUAUUCU